GGGUGCAGUAUUGAGAGAGAGAUGCGGACCGGCAAGGGACCCAGAUGCCCGUGGGAUGGGGGGCGGUAUUGGGAGAGAGACGCGGACCGGCGAGGGACCCAGGCACCUGUGGGGUAGGGGGCGGUAUUGGGAAGGAGAUGCGGACCGGCGAGGGACCCAGGCGUUCGGGGGUGCAGUAUUGGGAGAGAGAUGCGGACUGGGCGAGGGACCCAGAUGCCCGCGGGGUUGGAAGCGGUAUUGGGAGGGAGACGUGGAUCGGGCGAGGGACCCAGGCGUUUGGGGGUGCAGUAUUGGGAGGGAGACGUGGAUCGGGCGAGGGACCCAGACGCCCAUGAGAUAGGGGGAGUAUUGGGAGGGAGAUGUGGACCGGCGAGGGACCCAGGUGUUCGGGGGUGCAGUAUUGAGAGAGAGACGUGGACCGGGCGAGGGACCCAGGCAUUCGAGGGUGCAGUAUUGGGAGGGAGACACGGCCCGGUGAGGGACCCAGAUGCCCGUGGGGUGGGGGGGUAUUGGGAGGGAGACACGGGCCAGGCGAGGGACCCGGGCAUUCGAGGGUGCAGUAUUGGGAGGGAGACACGGCCCGGCAAGGGACCCAGAUGCCCGUGAGGUGGGGGGCAGUAUUGGGAGGGAGACGCGGACCGGGCGAGGGACCCAGAUGCCCGUGGGGU